rnacentral:rRNA from 1 species
GACGAACGCUGGCGGCGCGCUUAACACAUGCAAGUCGAGCGAGAACCAAGCCUUCGGGCUUGGGGACAGCGGCGAACGGGUGAGUAACACGUGGGUAAUCAACCCUUGACACUGGGAUAGCCCGGGGAAACCCGGAUUAAUACCGGAUAUCCCAUCUGGCCUUCGGCCGGCUGGAAAGGUAAGCUUCGGCCUCCGGUCAGGACGAGCCCGCGGCGGAUUAGCUUGUUGGUGGGGUAACGGCCCACCAAGGCGACGANCUGUAGCUGGUCUGAGAGGACGGAUCAGCCACACU